rnacentral:lncRNA from 1 species
ACUGAAGGUAACUGGACCCUCAUCAGGAAGGAUAGAUAUAGCUUACCUGUCCAGGUGCAGGCUGAGGUGCUGAACAUCUAGGAGUGAAGAUGGGAGCUGCUCCAAGAAGAGGCAGAGAACAGAGCUCGCCUCUAGGACAGAGUCAAGUGAUUGUGCACUUGCUUCAGACGUCACUGCUCAAAAUAGCUGCAUGAGAGGCUGCGGUGAGCCAAGGUCACGACACUGCACUCCAGCCUGGGCAACAGGGCAAGACUCCGUCUCAAAAAAUAAAAAAAAAUAAAAAAAACGAAAUAGCUGUAUGACUCCUCCUCCUUUUUACUUGGGGGAGAGAGAGUUUGAGGUGGAAAGAGGAGAGAUGGGCAGGAAGAACGGGUUCUCACCACGCUUUCCCACUGGUGAGAGAACAGGUACGUGUCCUCCUUUGGGGAAAAUCCAGGGGCAAAUACAGGGUGCCAAGAGAGCGAAUUUCAGGAACUCCUCCUUGUCCUCAAGGACGAGACCAUGGAUUCCAGAUCCAGAGGACAGGUAGAUGUCGGCCUGGCAGAGGUGGGGCUGGGGAGGAGGUUUUAGCCGGCGAUUACUGCUGAUCAAAAUCCCCAAGGAGAAAGAAAAUAUAGCCUGCCUAGGAACUGAAAGAAGCUUGGAGUGUUCAGCCUAAAAUGAGGCAUUUUAUGUAAAUUAGUGGGCAUGAUUCCUGCUACAUUGUAUGUACCUGAUGGCUUACGGUUAUUUUGCAGAAGUUUACUUCUUACUGGGUGGAGACACUUGGCAUUUGUAAAUGAGAAUAACAAUUUGAAGGAAGAUAAGAACAAGAACAAAACCUCCUAUAGCAUAAACAGAAACGUUUGGAGUGUAUUAAUCUGCUGCUUACUUUCGAAAAUGCCAUCAGCCUCUUUCCGGCUUCUGCCAGUUUGGAGCUGUCGCAGGCAAGGCUGCCGGGGACCUCUUUGCCCCUUUAUGUUUGGGCACCAAUGGUUGCUUUGCUGUAGGAAAGACGCGCAGGAAGCUGGGGGAGCGGCACCCGGCCCUCUGUGUCAGUGCCUGGGAAGCGCCUGAGGAUUUCUGGGCGACCAGGAGCCAGGGCCGCCACCGUUCCCGGGACAGGGAAGAGGAGGUUCACAUUUCACUCCUGGAAGGAGAAAAUGGAAAAUGUUCUACCAGGAGGCACGAAUCACUCUGGCACAUGCUGUAAUAGCUGCAGCGGGAACGAAUUCAGCCCAUGACAUUUGAAUGUACGAGAAAUUCUCUUUAUUAUCAGUUUCUCCUCAAUCCAGUUGCAACUCUCUCCUGCCCAGCCCCAUGCAUCAGGGUUUUCAAGAGAUUUAAUUUUGGUCCUUUACCCUUUUAGGGGGUUGGGCUGAGAUCCUUAACAUCCUCCAGAGUAUGGUAAGGGCCUCAGGGGGUCUCAAGCCAUCAGAAAUAUUUGGGGAGGGGUCUGGUGCUCCUUCCACCAGGGUCUCACUGUAGAGGCAACGGUGGUGCACAGUCACAUCUCCCGUCGUGAGGAGCUGUUGAAGACACAGGUGCGUGGAGGGGCGGCCAGAGCCUGCUAAGAGCCGCAGGAAUGUCCGACCCAAACUCUAGGGCAGGAAGAGCAGCGGGAAGCCUUGGGAGGCCAGCCAGCCAUUUAGCUCCUCCCUGGGAGCCAUUCUCUAGCAGAGCUGCCAGAGUCAUAAAUAAAAAUACAGGAUGCCCAAUUAAAUGUGCAUUUUACAUAAGCAAUUGUAUUCAUGUCCUGUGGCUGCUGUAACAAAUCACCUCAAUCUGGGGCGCUUAAAACAACAGAAAUUUAUUAUCACAGUCUAGAGGCCAAAAGACCAACGUCAAGGUGUCAGGGCUGGGCUCCCUCGGGAGGAUCCAGGACCCUUUUGGCCUCUUCCUGCUCCUGGGGCCUCCAGGCGUCCCUUGGCUCGUGGCCGCAUUGCUCCAGCCUCUGCUUCUGCCCUCACACGGGCUCUUCCCUGCGCGUCUCUCCUCUGUCUUCAUGUCAUUCGUAUGAGGACAUCAGUCACUGGACUUAGGGCCCGCCCUACUUCAAUAUGACCUCGUCUUAACUAAUUACCUCUACAAAGAACCUAUUUCCAAAUAGAGUCACCUUCUAAAGUUCCGGGUGGGCACGAACUUCUUGGUGGACGCUAUUCAACCCGUAAUAACAAUGAAAAAGUUGUUUUACUUCUGCAGGACCUAUUCUAUGCGAAAAUAGUUCUUUUUUUAUCUGAAAUUCAAAUAUUACAAGAGACCUACUUAUACUAAAAAGCUAUUCAUUUUUACCUGAAGCUCAAAUAUUGCAUGAGACAUAGAUAUUAAAAUUAUUUGUUGUUUAUCUGAAAUUCAAAUGUUGCAUUGGAUAUGCUUAUACUAAAAAGGCAUUCCUAUUUUAUCUGGUAACUCUCUUCCUGCGUCCCCCAGCGUCCGUGUGUGUCCUGCCCCUCUGCAGUUCCGCCGUCUUGCAGGCCUCCAUGGUUCCGUGGGAGAUAGAGAGCGCAGGUCACCCACCCCGGGGACACUGCAAGUGGUUACACCCUCCCCCACCCUUCACCCCCCACACCCCCCUCCCCACCCCAACUGGUGCAGGGCCCCAGUCCUGUGGCCUGUGAGGAGAGCUCAGACUUUGGAAAUCUGAAUAAUG